GUGGGCACACAGUGCAAUAUACAGAUCUUGUAACAUAGAAACCCACACCUGAAACCUAUAUGUUUAUGUUGACCAAUGCCACCUCAAUCAAUUUAAUUUUAAAAAUAAAAUAAAAUAGGUGUGUCC